UACGUAGGGUGCAAGCGUUAAUCGGAAUUACUGGGCGUAAAGCGUGCGCAGGCGGUUUUGCAAGACAGAUGUGAAAUCCCCGGGCUUAACCUGGGAACUGCAUUUGUGACUGCACGGCUAGAGUGCGGCAGAGGGGGAUGGAAUUCCGCGUGUAGCAGUGAAAUGCGUAGAUAUGCGGAGGAACACCGAUGGCGAAGGCAAUCCCCUGGGCCUGCACUGACGCUCAUGCACGAAAGCGUGGGGAGCAAACAGG
rnacentral:rRNA from 1 species